UACGUAGGGGGCAAGCGUUGUCCGGAUUUACUGGGCGUAAAGAGCGUGUAGGCGGCCACACCGGUCCGUUGUGAAAACUGGAGGCUCAACCUUCAGACGUCGACGGAAACCGUGUGGCUAGAGUCCGGAAGAGGAGAGUGGAAUUCCUGGUGUAGCGGUGAAAUGCGCAGAUAUCAGGAAGAACACCAAUGGCGAAGGCAGCUCUCUGGGACGGUACUGACGCUGAGACGCGAAAGCGUGGGGAGCGAACAGG
rnacentral:rRNA from 1 species